rnacentral:lncRNA from 1 species
CACACAGCAAGAAGAUAGCUGCCUAUAAGCCAAGAGAAAGGGCCUCAGAAUGAAACCAACCUGGAUAGCACUUUGCCCUUGGACUUCCCAGCCUCUGGAACUGUGAGAAAUAGAUUUCUGUUGUUUGAGCCACACAGUUUAUGGUAUUUUGUUACAGCAGCUUGAUCUGAGUAAGACACCAAUAACAUUGAGAGUUUCUGGAAUAGGAUUGCCAAAGUGGCACCUCAAGUAGAAGUCUUUGAAUGGAGACUUUGGACUGAUUAAUUCCAUUUUCAGCCUAUCUUCAGCACAUUCUCUUCUGCUUCAUUUAUAGUUUUGUGUUCCUAUAGGCUUGUGCUUCUGGAAUUUCUCAUUUCUCUUGUAUUUAGACCUGUGUGUACCUCAAGAGUGCUUGUGUUUUUAUCCUUAAAACCGGUGGCUGUCCACACCAGCUGCGCACCUCCUCUGGACCAUACUGGAAGAGCUGCUGCCUUGUUCAGGGUGAAGACUUAAGAGUGAUUCAAAAGAUGGGACACAUCAAGACUCUGCCUUGAGGUCAUCUCUUCUCCCUGCUGAACUUGGUAACAGAGUGGAGAACUUAGCUGAGAAGCCUACACAACUUUCAAAAGGAGAUAAGCAAAGAGAAACAGCAGGAUGAAACACUGAGUUAGGGGCCCAACGAGCUAUUGAACUAAGUGAAGAAGAAGAAAAGCUGAUUUCUUAAUUAAAAGCACA